GCUCGGUUUAUUCAACCACAUUAUAAUAGACUAUGUAGAGAUAAUAAAAUCCCUGAAAGGAGCUUACUAAAAUAUAUCAACGCUUAACCUGGUGGACCCUGGCAUAUCACGGGGCAUAUCUUGUGACGGUAUAUCUUGCAACUGGAUCUUGUCACAUUAUAUUGAGACGUGUCCGUAAACUUUGUGGUGUUGAAUCCUCAAGAAAUAUGCUCAUCCACGUGCACGUAUAUGAGAUAAAUGGCAGAGAACUCAACUAUGACCUGAAAGUGAACAGGAAGGAUUCCCUAAACACACUGAUGAUGGACCUACAAGAGAAGACAAACAGCACUUACUACUUUCUUUUUCACAAUGUCGAAGAACUGAAUCUCAACAUGACCUUUGAUGAUUGCGAUAUAUAAGAUGGAAGUACGAUUGUGGCUACACCCGAUGAUCAUUAUGGUAGAGUCGGAGGUUUGGGACCACGACGUUGGAUUUCGAAGACUGACCGUGGAGAAGUGAUGAUACAUAGAUCGUUACGCAUGGAAACAACAGUGAAGACUCUGAGGAAGUCGAUAUCCGAGCAGAUUGAUACUCCACUUGAAAAGUUAAAGUUUGUCUUUGAUGGAACCGAAUUAGAGGAUACUAAAACAAUUGGCGAGUUGGGGAUUGAAGAACCGGAUAUUGGAAACUACGGCAUCAGACUGGAACCAGUGUACAAUGCAAACAGAGAGAAAACUGGAUUCAAGUUGGUGCUGGAGAGACAAUGAUAUGAGAAAUAUUUCUGCCCUCUAUCAUGAAGGUCAAGCUUAUGACAUCUGUUUCAAAUCUGUUUGUAACCAUUAUAACUUAAAUGAUAUGAUUUUCUCAUGUAUGUGGUAUAUAUUUUUAAUAUGUUUGUUAUCUGAAGGCAUGCUUCGAAUUCCCGACCUUCUGCUCUGCCACUUGACCACGGAUGCGGUAUCGAAGGCAAUGUAUUCACCGAUGCGAUUUGUCAUUUCUUUGCUUAUAUGCUAGAACGUAUUGUCAGAGAAAAUCAUCUGAUACGAUGCAAACAAUGGCAUUGUUACAUAUCAAUAUUUCUGUAAUCAUGUAGAACUGUUUCUUUUGUUCUUGAUGUUUCAGAUUGAAUGUUUCAGUUAUUCUUAAUAAAAAAUAAUAAUAUGA